rnacentral:rRNA from 1 species
UACAGAGGUCCCAAGCGUUGUUCGGAAUUACUGGGCGUAAAGGGCUCGUAGGCGGCCAACUAAGUCAGACGUGAAAUCCCUCGGCUUAACCGGGGAACUGCGUCUGAUACUGGAUGGCUUGAGUUUGGGAGAGGGAUGCGGAAUUCCGAGGUGUAGCGGUGAAAUGCGUAGAUAUCGUGAGGAAGACCAGUGGCGAAGGCGGGGUCUCUGGACAGUUCCUGACACUGAGGCACGAAGGCCAGGGGGAGCAAAACGGGG